UUUCCGUAGGUGAACCUGCGGAAGGAUCAUUACCGAACCGUCGACACGAGUUGUUGCUGGCCCCUCCGAUGGGGGGGCAUGUGCACACUCUGUUUACACAUCCACUCACACCUGUGCACCCUCUGUGGUUCUAUGGCUUGAGGGGCCUCGUCCCUUUGCCGUGGUUCUACGUUUUUAUACACACCCUGUAGUAAAGUCUUAUGGAAUGUGUGCCGCGUUUAACGCAAUGAAAUACAACUUUCAGCAACGGAUCUCUUGGCUCUC
rnacentral:misc_RNA from 1 species